GCUCCUCUGCAUUGCUGGCAGAUCCGAUUUUCUGCCACCGAAUACAUUAGCAUGGGAUAAUGGAAUAGGACCCUGAUCCUCCUAUUUUCAGUUGGUUUUGGCAGCGCGAGGACUAGGGUAAUGAUUAAUAGGGAUAGUUGGGGGCAUUAAUAUUUAAUUGUCAGAGGUGAAAUUCUUGGAUUUAUGAAAGAUUAACUUCUGCGAAAGCAUCUGCCAAGGAUGUUUUCAUUAAUCAAGAACGAAAGUUAGGGGAUCGAAGACGAUCAGAUACCGUCGUAGUCUUAACCAUAAACGAUGCCGACCAGCGAUUAGGAGACGUUGAAUACAAAACACCACCAUCGGCGCGGUCGUCCUUGGCGUCUCGGUCCUUCACGGGGCCGGGGCGCGGGGGCGGCUUAGCCCGGUGGCACCGGUGAAUGACUCCUAGAGCUUUGUGAGAA
rnacentral:rRNA from 1 species